CCUACGGGAGGCUGCAGUGGGGAAUAUUGGACAAUGGGGGGAACCCUGAUCCAGCCAUGCCGCGUGUGUGAAGAAGGCCCUCGGGUUGUAAAGCACUUUCAGUGAGGAAGAACGCCUGGUGGUUAAUACCCAUCAGGAAAGACAUCACUCACAGAAGAAGCACCGGCUAACUCCGUGCCAGCAGCCGCGGUAAUACGGAGGGUGCGAGCGUUAAUCGGAAUUACUGGGCGUAAAGCGCGCGUAGGUGGCUUGAUAAGCCGGUUGUGAAAGCCCCGGGCUCAACCUGGGAACGGCAUCCGGAACUGUCAAGCUAGAGUGCAGGAGAGGAAGGUAGAAUUCCCGGUGUAGCGGUGAAAUGCGUAGAGAUCGGGAGGAAUACCAGUGGUGAAGGCGGCCUUCUGGACUGACACUGACACUGAGGUGCGAAAGCGUGGGUAGCAAACAGGAUUAGAUACCCCUGUAGUC
rnacentral:rRNA from 1 species